rnacentral:tRNA from 1 species
GGGAGCGUGGCUCAGAUGGUAGAGAGCUCGCUUAGCAUGCGAGAGGUACGGCGAUCGAUACCCCACGCCUCCA